rnacentral:lncRNA from 1 species
UAAAAACUAGUUUCAAGAGAAAAGAUAGUCUAACUCUUACCUCUUUUGCGCCUUUAGAUUGACGACGAAGUUGAUAGCUGCAAUAAAUAAUAAAAUUGACAGAUUUGAAUUGAAAAUAUCAUAUUUUCAAUCAAAAUGGUAGGACUAAGAAGGGUAAAAGUUUGUCAAAGCCUUACCUCACCAGAGACUACGAAUUUACGCUGAAAUUAAUCACUGAAAGGAAGAAGAUGAACAAUUAAAAAAAUCUAACAAAUUGAAUUGAGAAUAUAAGAUUUUCUAUCAAAAUCGUGGGAAUAGAGAAGAGUAAAAUCCUGUCAAAGUCUUACCUCACCAAUACUAAAUAGUUUUAAUAAGUAAACAAGUGGCAUCUAAAAACUAAAUAGCAUUAUGUGAGAAAGUGAAUAUCCAAUCGAACCAAUCCCCUGCAUAUGUAAGAAGAAAACAGGACAUGUCGGUUUCCUCACCGGAAAGCAAAGAAAACAAACCUGUAAAUUACAUAAGCUAGCAUCUGAAAUGCAGUAGGUGCCUUCUCAUAACUCCUUGCUUUCACCAAAAAAUAAGAGCUAAAUCACACUCUACACCUCUUGCUAUAACCUGAAAUUAGUACCGAGGAUAGCGUAAUUGAUGUAGUCAAUGAUUCAACAUGAAUUUCUCUAUUCCCUCACCGAGAGCCAAAAGGCAAAAUAAAUUAUACAAGAGACACAUAAAAUGGCAUCAAUAUAUAGAAAAUCAAGGACUUUAAACAACUCUUGCAACACAUUGGCAAUUAUUAGUAAAUUAAAAUGUUGUUGGGAAGAGAUCAUGCUACCCCAACAAAGGCAUCUGAAUACCAAAUUACAUGUUUAGAAAUCCGUAAAAACCAGCAUUAUCACAUGAGAAAUUCAAUAUGCAAAAGUUGGAAGAGAAAAAAGAAUUUGAAUAGUUACAGUUGCAGGUAUAAAAUCUCCAAGACAUAGAAAAUAUCAUUAUUCUAUUGCUCAAAUAACAAAAACCAUCUGCAAUAAAGUCCUUUAUCUGCAUCCUCCAUUUAACAGUUCAGGCUGAAAUAAAAUAAAAAUAGUGACAGGAGAAAAAACUUCAUAAAUUCAGUAAAUAUAAUAUAUCAUUCCACAGCGUCUAUAACUCACCUCAUGAAUCAAGACAUGCUUUACUACAACGCAAGAUCAAUAUAGCACGAAUUGUAAACCUACUAGAUGACAAACCAAAUAAAUAAACAGAUAGUUCCAAAGCAAUAAUACUAAGUAUAUAUUCAUCAUUACGUUGAAAACUCAAUUUGCAUAAGCAUAACCAUCAAACUAGCUUUGAAGUAUACAAAAUUGCUAAGGGCUGCAAAGUAUUACGACAGUGGAAUUUGCAUAGAAGCAUACCUUAUAAGAGUUAAAUAAUUGCCCACAAACGACAUCAACUUUCUAAACAAAACAAACUUCAUGAGGACUCCAAUACCAUACUUCAACUUUCUAAAUAAUAUCAACAUCAAAUUUCUCAAUAGUAAAAAUGACUAUACUAGAGCACACAUAAAACAUUAACGGUUCAAUUAUGCCAAAAUCUUAGUCCUCUUAUAAUAAAAAAAGUUAUCACUAGAGACCAACACAACAAAUUUUCUUAGAGACUAGGUAGUUAAAGGGAGAAUAAUUCACCAAAAACCAAUUAGAAUUCAAUAUAUAUGGCGAACCAAAAAUCACAAAAAAUUCUACCUACUGAAGGUGUCGACCAACUGUAGUUGCUGCUCCCUUUCGCUGCCAAAACUGGUAACGCUAAUACCUCCAUUGGUUGUCACCUACGUCCUCCGCUCGUCGUUUUGUCAGACCAGCACCGUGCCCACCUGAAGUGCCGACCGCUAAACCAUAUGACGCUUGAACUAUAUAUAUAUAUAUAUCCACUCCGCAAUCUGCCAUCUUGCCUUCCUCAAAGGGCAAACCCUUCCCCCUUUCACCAAUUCCUUAAUUGAAUUAUGUAAUGGAAUGAAACUAAAGAUUUUAAUUGUGAUGUAAAUAGCAAUUUCAAUCCACCAAAGGAGACCUAUUUCCCCUACUUAGGGGAGACGCACGAGCAGGAGACGAAGGUUUGGUGCUGAAGGAAUUCGAAUUGAUAAAUUUGGGAAUGUUUAAUUUUCGUUGUUGGGUUGGUGAAAAAAAA